GUGGUUACCAUACACUAACAGAUAAGAG
rnacentral:sRNA from 1 species